UCCGAUCUUUCACCUCUCCCGGAGCUGGCUUUCCGGCCUUGCCGAUGAGGGUGUCUUGUUUUUCAUUUUUAUAUGCCGUUUCUAGUCGCCCUUGUUGUUAUCUCGUGAUUUGGUCUUAGAUUGGAACAAAUCUGGUGGCGAACCUUGUUCUCUCUAGGGUGCAUGUGGCGUUUCGUAGAAGCUUGGUGGGUGGCGGUUCUUUCCGGUCCAGGAGCUUUGAGGACGGUUCCGAGUAUUCGCUUCCUUAGGAGCUUUUGCUCAUCCGGUUUUCUUUGUCCCUCCGUGGUCUGCUUUGGUUCCUGUCGUUAUGAUUGGAGCGGUUUUCUAGUCAGCGUUGGUAACAGUGCUGGCGUGGAGAUGGUGGUGGUGUGGUCUGGUGGUGGAGUUAGCUAGACCUGUUGGUUCUGUCUAGUGGGACUCCGUUUUGAGGGCAGCGGAGGUACGUGAACGGAGAGCUGCGAUGGCUGUCUUCAGGCUACGGUCCUAGGACCAAUCUGCUCUCUCCCCCCCCCCCGACUCCUAUCUAUGUGCUUCUUGGAGUCUCCUCCUCCUCGUAGUGCUCUGGUGCCAGUUUUCUUAUGUUUUUUC
rnacentral:lncRNA from 1 species